rnacentral:tRNA from 1 species
GCUGGGAUAGCUCAAUCGCUAGAGCAUGAGACUCUUAAUCUCGGGGUCAUGGGUUCCAGUUCCACUUUGGGUG